rnacentral:rRNA from 1 species
GCCAUACCAGCUUGUCAUAGUCUGAUUUUGUCAGAUCUCAGAACAUAAGGAAGGCCGGGCCUGGUUAGUGCUUGGAUGGGAGACCACUGGGAAUACCUGGUGC